rnacentral:rRNA from 1 species
UACGGAGGGUGCAAGCGUUGUCCGGAUUUAUUGGGUUUAAAGGGUGCGUAGGCGGAUUGGUAAGUCAGUGGUGAAAGUUUGCAGCUCAACUGUAAAAUUGCCAUUGAUACUGUCAGUCUUGAGUGUAGUCGAGGUGGUUGGAAUGCGUAGUGUAGCGGUGAAAUGCUUAGAUAUUGGAAAGAACACCGGCCGCGAAGGCGAUUCACUGGCUCAUUACUGACGCUCAGGGACGAAAGCCAGGGGAGCAAACGGG